rnacentral:rRNA from 1 species
AACGAACGCUGGCGGCAGGCCUAACACAUGCAAGUCGAACGAAGUCUACGGACUUAGUGGCGCACGGGUGAGUAACACGUGGGAAUAUACCUUUCGGUGGGGAAUAACAGCGGGAAACUGCUGCUAAUACCGCAUACGCCCUUCGGGGGAAAGAGUUAUCGCCGAGAGAUUAGCCCGCGUCCGAUUAGCUAGUUGGUAAGGUAACGGCUUACCAAGGCUACGAUCGGCAGCUGGUCUGAGAGGAUGAUCAGCCACACUGGGACUGAGACACGGCCCAGACUCCUACGGGAGGCAGCAGUGGGGAAUAUUGGACAAUGGGCGCAAGCCUGAUCCAGCCAUGCCGCGUGAGUGAUGAAGGCCUUAGGGUUGUAAAGCUCUUUCGACGGGGACGAUGAUGACGGUACCCGUAGAAGAAGCCCCGGCUAACUUCGUGCCAGCCGCCGCCGUAACAC